CGGACGGGUGAGUAAUGUCUGGGAAACUGCCUGAUGGAGGGGGAUAACUACUGGAAACGGUAGCUAAUACCGCAUAACGUCGCAAGACCAAAUAUGGGGACCUUCGGGCCUCUUGCCAUCAGAUGUGCCCAGAUGGGAUUAGCUAGUAGGUGGGGUAACGGCUCACCUAGGCGACGAUCCCUAGCUGGUCUGAGAGGAUGACCAGCCACACUGGAACUGAGACACGGUCCAG
rnacentral:rRNA from 1 species